GAUGGUCUGCGGCCUUAGGUGUUGCAGUAGCGCCAGCAGGAAGAGAAGGGAUGCCCAGACAGCAAGAGCUUCCCGGACACGCUGCCCUGUCUGAAACCUGCUGGGCUGGGAGCUGUCUCUGUCCCCGCGCUUGGCUUCGCACAGGCGGCCACCAACACAUUCACCGGUUCCGGUUACACCGGUGAGGCGAACUGACGCGUUCCCCAUUCCAGCGGCAACCGGGGGGAAAAGACUAAACUCUUUUUCUCAAACUCAAGCAGCAUCUGAUAGGAGCUUCCUUCCUGGGCAGGGCUGGACCCGCCUGGGGCCGAGCCACCUCCCUGCAGGUGACAAGCUCCUCAUGUCAGCCCUGGAGCUCGGAGCCGUCUCAUCCCGCUGCCGCCGACGCAAGCUGGAGCCUUAUCCAGUUUGCCAGCGGAGAAAUGAGCCGAGCAGCCUCCCGUUUCCUGCCUUGUCUGACGUGGUUUUAUUCCUUUCAAAUCCGUGUUAUCCAAGACCAGUGAUUUUCUCCCACUGCAGAAGGCAGCAUUCCUUUGCUCACAUAGACUGUGGUACCUGGGGAACAGGAGCAUCACCCUGACACCCCUCUUCAUCACAGAAAUGCAGCGCAGCACACCACGGGAGAAUUUAAUGAAGAAAAGCAGCUGAAGAAGGAAAGGAUGUUGCAGCGG